GACAAAGGGUGCAAACGUUGUUCGGAAUUACUGGGCGUAAAGCGCGUGUAGGCGGUUAUGCAAGUCGGGUGUGAAAGCCCGGAGCUCAACUCCGGAAGUGCAUUCGAUACUGCGUAGCUAGAGUACUGGAGAGGAUGGUGGAACUCUCGGUGUAGAGGUGAAAUUCGUAGAUAUCGAGAAGAACACCGGUGGCGAAGGCGGCCAUCUGGACAGAUACUGACGCUGAGACGCGAAAGCGUGGGGAGCAAACAGG
rnacentral:rRNA from 1 species